rnacentral:misc_RNA from 1 species
GAUGAAGAACGUAGCGAAAUGCGAUAAGUAAUGUGAAUUGCAGAAUUCAGUGAAUCAUCGAAUCUUUGAACGCACCUUGCGCUCCUUGGUAUUCCGAGGAGCAUGCCUGUUUGAGUGUCAUUAAUAUAUCAACCUUCUCUUUUUUGAGUUGUUUGGAUGUGGGGGUUUGCUGGCCUCUUAAAUGAUUCUGCUCCCCUGAAAUGCAUUAGCAGAACAACCUGUUCAUUGGCGUGAUAAUUAUCUAUGCUAUUGAAUGUGAGGGCAGUUCAGCUUUCUAACCGUCCUUGGACAAUUCAUCAUUAAUGUGACCUCAAAUCAGGUAGGACUACCCGCUGAACUUAAGCAUAUCAAUAAGCGGAGGA